rnacentral:tRNA from 1 species
GGUCGGAAGUUCAAGUCUUCCCAGGCCCACCACACUCAUCGAGUGAGCAUUCGUCUUCUGGUUACGGGGCCAUAGCUCAGCUGGGAGAGCGCGUGCUUUGCAAGCAUGAGGUCGUCGGUUCGAUCCCGUCUGGCUCCACCAGAUGGUUUGAUCACCGACUACUCAUACCGUCGUCCGCGAAACAUCACUUCGCACUUACUAGUCCGGAUGGACAGUAAGCUGCGUGAUUUCUGACAUCGUAAAGAGGAGAUCGAUCCGAGUUGGAUCGGGCAACAAGUAAUUGUUGCGCGAUACUUCAUUAUCUCCGGAUCAUUUCGGCGCUCGUGCGUCUUCCAGGGUAGCUCACAAGGCUGCGUCUGAAGGACACGCGAGUUGUAAAUGAUCCUUUUAGCGAAGCUUGACCGCCUCGCUAUCGGAACGAUCUUACGAAGCAAGCUGGUCUUUCUAAUCAUUGUCCGGCUGCAGAUAGCGUUCAUCGAGGGCGCGUGCCUUAGAGACUUAGGUUUCUUGGCAAUUCUGCGGACAACAUUCUGCCGAGUGUGUGGACAUUGAUAAUGAGAGC